GUGAACGCUGGCGGUCGGCCUAACACAUGCAAGUCGCACGGCAGCACAGUAAGAGCUUGCUCUUACGGGUGGCGAGUGGCGGACGGGUGAGGAAUACAUCGGAAUCUACUUUUUCGUGGGGGAUAACGUAGGGAAACUUACGCUAAUACCGCAUACGACCUACGGGUGAAAGCAGGGGAUCUUCGGACCUUGCGCGAUUGAAUGAGCCGAUGUCGGAUUUGCUAGUUGGCGGGGUAAAGGCCCACCAAGGCGACGAUCCGUAGCUGGUCUGAGAGGAUGAUCAGCCACACUGGAACUGAGACACGGUCCAGACUCCUACGGGAGGCAGCAGUGGGGAAUAUUGGACAAAGGGCGCAAGCCUGAUCCAGCCAUACCGCGUGGGUGAAGAAGGCCUUCGGGUUGUAAAGCCCUUUUGUUGGGAAAGAAAAGCAGCAGGUUAAUACCCCGCUGUUCUGACGGUACCCAAAGAAUAAGCACCGGCUAACUUCGUG
rnacentral:rRNA from 1 species